rnacentral:rRNA from 1 species
AAGCUUGCUUCUGAUUGAUAACAUUUGAGUGAGUGGCGGACGGGUGAGUAACACGUGGGUAACYUGCCCUAAAGUGGGGGAUAACAUUUGGAAACAGAUGCUAAUACCGCAUAAAACCUAGCACCGCAUGGUGCAAGGUUGAAAGAUGGUUUCGGCUAUCACUUUAGGAUGGACCCGCGGUGCAUUAGUUAGUUGGUGAGGUAAAGGCUCACCAAGACCGUGAUGCAUAGCCGACCUGAGAGGGUAAUCGGCCACACUGGGACUGAGACACGGCCCAGACUCCUACGGGAGGCAGCAGUAGGGAAUCUUCCACAAUGGACGAAAGUCUGAUGGAGCAACGCCGCGUGAGUGAAGAAGGUUUUCGGAUCGUAARACUCUGUUGUUGGAGAAGAACGUAUUUGAUAGUAACUGAUCAGGUAGUGACGGUAUCCAACCAGAAAGCCACGGCUAACUACGUGCCAGCAGCCGCGGUAAUACGUAGGUGGCAAGCGUUGUCCGGAUUUAUUGGGCGUAAAGCGAG